GACGAACGCUGGCGGCGUGCUUAACACAUGCAAGUCGAACGGAAAGGCCUCUUUCGGGGGGUACUCGAGUGGCGAACGGGUGAGUAACACGUGAGUAACCUGCCCUUGACUUUGGGAUAACUUCAGGAAACUGGGGCUAAUACCGGAUAGGAGCUCCUGCUGCAUGGUGGGGGUUGGAAAGUUUCGGCGGUUGGGGAUGGACUCGCGGCUUAUCAGCUUGUUGGUGGGGUAGUGGCUUACCAAGGCUUUGACGGGUAGCCGGCCUGAGAGGGUGACCGGCAACAUUGGGACUGAGAUACGGCCCAGACUCCUGCGGGAGGCAGCAGUGGGGAAUAUUGCACAAUGGGUGGAAGCCUGAUGCAGCAACGCCGUGUGCGGGAUGACGGCCUUCGGGUUGUAAACCGCUUUCGCUCAUGACGAAGCUUUGUGUGACGGUAGUGGGUAAAGAAGCACCGGCUAACUACGUG
rnacentral:rRNA from 1 species